rnacentral:rRNA from 1 species
AACGAACGCUGGCGGCAUGCCUAACACAUGCAAGUCGAACGAAACGUUCGGGACUAUUGGCGCACGGGUUCGUAACGCGUGGGAACCUGCCCAUAUGGUCGGACUAACUCCCCGAAAGGGGUGCUAAUACCGGAUAAUGUCUUCGGACCGAAGAUUUAUUGACCUUGGUUGUGCCCUCGUUGGAUUAGGUGGUUGUUAGGGUAAAAGCCUACCAAGGCGACGAUCCAUAGCUUGUUUGUGAGGAGGAUCACCGACACCGAGACUGAGACACGGCCCAGACUCCUCCGCGAGGCAGCAGUGCGUAAUAUUGGACCAUGGCCUAAAUGAUGAACCACUACUGACGGGUGAGUGAUGAAAGCCUUAGGGUACUAAAGCUCAUUUACCCGGGAUGAUAAUGACAGUACCGGGAGAAUAAGCCCCGGCUAACUACGUG